rnacentral:lncRNA from 1 species
AUUCUGCAUGUGUCUAAUUUUUUCUGUAUGUUGAUCUUUCUCUAUCUGCAGGAGGCACCUGACUUAAAAGAGCAUGCAGACUAAUGACUUUAGUCUUGAAGACUUUUAUUUGCCCUCAUACUGUAGAGAAUUUAGGCACAAUCUGAUUUAUGGAUGAUGUUCUGCAGUGAAAGGACUUCACUGUGGACUACUGUAGACUCUCACAGCACAUUGACAGCUCCUCUCCUUGGAUUCAGUCUUGUCUCAAAUAAUUAGCUCACAUGGACGCACAAAGACAUCUUCAGAAUCCCUGGAACAGCCAUACAAUAAAUGAUAUUUUAAAAGUUGAUUCA